UACGGAGGGAGCUAGCGUUGUUCGGAAUUACUGGGCGUAAAGCGCGUGUAGGCGGCUUUGUAAGUUAGAGGUGAAAGCCCGGGGCUCAACCCCGGAAUUGCCUUUAAGACUGCAUCGCUUGAAUCCGGGAGAGGUGAGUGGAAUUCCGAGUGUAGAGGUGAAAUUCGUAGAUAUUCGGAAGAACACCAGUGGCGAAGGCGGCUCACUGGACCGGCAUUGACGCUGAGGUGCGAAAGCGUGGGGGAGCAAACAGG
rnacentral:rRNA from 1 species